AAUAACGCACGCUGUUGUGCAAUCAGAAGGCGUUUUUACCGCGUCCUGUGGCAAGCCGAAACACGGAGUUUUUUACGGUUUACGCGCAUUUUUUACGGCGUCUGCUAUCAGGACGGCAUAUUUGACGGCGCUAAUAUUGUUUAAAACGCCGUCAAAUAGGCGUUUUGUAUGUAAACGCGAUUUCUCAACGCAGCCCCUCUCUGCGCGCUCUUCUCCAGCACGCGCUUUUUCCUGUCUUCCACGGAAAGACGCGCACGCGCUUAAUUUAAAAUGUAAUGGUCAUUUUGUUUCACUGACUGACUAACAUUCGUUUAUUGAUCUCUUUAUUGAAUAAUUACUUAUAAUUAAUAUUUACAAGAGAGUAAAUAUUGGGAUUUCAGAAAGAUUUGAUACGUCUAAUUGAAGAGAACAUGAUGUUAACCCAGAAGUUUUUUGUUUACUGACCAAAAAAAGAGAAGCACAUCAUCGCUAAUUCAGUGGUUUGCGGAGGUGAAUUUUCUUGUGGUGUUUGUUUAUCGGUCAGCCGCGUGGUGGCGAUGACAACUACAGAAAACUAGACUGUUCGGAAAAAUACUGAGACAAGGAGGCGGAGCAGUGUUUUUCUCUUCACUGCGGCCAGUCAGUGUAUGAUGGGGCAGAUUCAGCAGCAGUGGAUCCGUGAGUCUGGACUUGGUCUCAGAGAGAUCACCUCAGUUAUGGAUAUUUCAGAACCCACAAAUCCUAACAUCUAGAACCUACAGAACAUCUUUCACAUUCAUAAGGACUGCUUUAUCUUCUGCUACGAAUUAAUCUGUUUUCAGUUCCUCAUAUUUUGUUUCAGUUGUCAGCACCAUUGUAGGCUCCACCAUGGUGCAGAAGUAUCAGUCCCCAGUGAGGGUGUACAAACAUCCUUUUGAACUGGUCAUGGCAGUAAGUGUGAACCACAGACUUAACACUCAAUAGCAUUUUAUUAUUGUGGCCACACAAUAAUAAUACAUUGUAUAAAUACCAAGCUACUUAAAGUUUACAAGGCAAAACAUUAUUUUGUGGCAGGCUAUACACAUGAA